rnacentral:tRNA from 1 species
GGGCCCGUAGCUCAGCUAGGUAGAGCGACAGGCUCAUAACCUGUUGGUGAAGGGUUCAAAUCCCUUCGGGCCCACCA